AGACUGCUUUCCGCUCUGGGUAUGCACGAUAGGUGGAGAGAUCCCCCGUGCAUCCAGCGCUGCAAUAAAGAAUAUACCACUUAAAGGAAUUUCGGCUUCGAUCUUUGAAUCAAUCUGGCGACCCAGAUGGGACGACCUCUCUGCCGGUCCGCAGGACCCGCUGGGGACAGGACUCCCUAGGGUACCCCCGGGAUUUCCCGGAGGGACUCCUCGACUCACCGGAUCACUGCGGAGGCAGACAAGGACCCCAUCAUUGUAAACUUUUUCAGGACAACCCCUAGAGGAAAAACGGAAGGAAAGUGGACGGGACCAUACCAGGUAUUACUGACAACACACACCGCCAUUAAGAUUAAGGAGCAAGCAGCUUGGAUCCACGAUUCAAGGGUGAAGAAGGCCCUGGCGAGGAUAUGGACCACGACCCCAAUUGGACCAGCAAAAUUGCGUUUUUCCAGAUCCUAAUGAUUGUGGGGGUAUGGUUGUCAGAUUUGGGAUGGGCAACUUGGGACGGGAACUUACACCUGACCUUAAUACAAACUGUAUCUCAAGUGAUUAAUAAGAUGAACUGUUGGGUAUGCACCCAUCUGCCACAGCAUGGGAAUAAGGGUGUAUCGUUAAUCAGGAUUCCCUUGCCUGCAAACUUAUCUUGGACUAAUUUGUGGGAAAACACAUCUUGGGGUCAAAAAAAUAUGAAGAAGUUUUGGAACUAGAAGUUAGUAGCUUUGUGCCAUUGGAAUCUUACUAUGUAUGUGUACAAAGGUGUAACCCGCCUAAGGGUAUGGGAAAACAGGAUUGUAUAAAUACGGGUACUACUUAUGUGGGAAAUCAGACAUCUUGUAAUCAAACAAUUGAUAUUAGUACAACUAGCAGUUGGGCAAAUUCAACCAGCUGGCCAGUUCCAGAAG